GCGGUAUCCCCAUGCGGAAGUGUGACGUCAGUGCAGGAAACAAACAGCAGAUGCACCGGUGUGUAGAUGGAGGAAUGUUAGCGCGGAGAACGGCUAUCCCACUGUGACCGCGUCGUGUUACGGCUUUAAUCAAAGGAACUGAACUACAGCACCCGAGAGAAUGAAGUUCACAUGUGACCAGUGUGGAAAGAUGUGGCCAUCUGCUUCCAGACUCAAAGUUCACUACAGAACUCACACAGGAGAGAAGCCAUUUAAAUGUGACCAGUGUGGGAAGGAAUUUCAACAUUC